AGUGAUAUCUACCUUUUAGAACUACACACAGAUAAAGAAAAGAACAAAGAUAAGACAUUUACCAGAAUAUGCUUCGGUCUCCCUCAAUGUGCUUAUCCAUAAUAGUUCAAUAGCACUGUCAAAGCAUCUACGGCCUAAAACUUCGAUAGUCCUUGACAUUUGAAUUUUGAUCUCAAGAUCUCGUCUCUUAACUCUUUCUAUCUUCUCAACAGCUCUAAAUUCUAAUGAUCUUGACAAGUUUCUGAAUUCAAUUGGAAAAACCCCUGCCUAUGUUGAUCUGGAGGUAAUAUUUAGUUAAUUUGACAUUUGCUUACUUCCUCACCAUUGUUAUUCAGGAUCAACCUCCAGAUAGCUAGAAUUGUCCCAUCUGAUGCACCAGUCUCAGCCGAUCCUCUUGUAAAACAGGAAUCUUCUAAAGGUCUGGAGAAAAAUCACACAUCUUCAGAUAAGCAACCAGUAAUUGCUGCAGGGGCGAAACCUGCAAAACCACCCAAUACUUCUACAAAGGAGAAAACCAUGCUGGCCCGGUUAGCAUGGAGCUGAAGAACCUUGCUAUAAUAUUCAAGAACACAGCAUAUACAGAAGGCUUCAAAGCUGGUAUUCAUCAUCAGUCGAAGAGAAUGUAAAGUUGUCCACAUUCAUAGAAAAUGCAUAGAAAAGGAAAAAUAAGGCGUGGUUAUAAUCAUUUACACUAAAUAGCAAGGCAACAACGACACAUUAAUUUAAGGGAAGGUAUGAAAAACUAUUAAAGAAA